CAGAAUUUGAGUUGCCAUCUGUUGGCACAGAGUUCUCACCAGCUCUUUUCAACUCUGCCGUGCUCAUCCACGAUAUUUAGAUGCACGGCAGCUUGGCCAAAGCAGUGGUUAGGGCCAGAACCACCUACUGCUUGUCUGUGGUUCAUCGGUCUGUGCACGUAGCAGAGGCGUCCCAUGUAACCUGGUUCACCAGAUUUACUGCCUGCGAGUGGAUCAAAUCCAUGAUGGAUGUACAGCAAGCCGGCUUCUUGCUGGUCCAAGGAUCGCUGCCCGAGCAGUGAAUUUGGUGAGCAGGGGCUGCUUGGUGUGUCGGUCUCACUUUGCUUCACCUCCACUUCCUCCUUGCGUGUAUCCUGAUCCUUUUGCUUUCUCCAGAUUUUGUUCUAACCUGUGCUCUGGCUCAUUGCAAAUACACCAGACCAUUCUUAAGCCUUUUUUUGUAGUUGCUGGGUUGUUUUUUUGUGUUUUGGUUGGUUGGUGGUUUUCUUUUUUCCCCCUUUCCUCUACUAAUACAGUAGCCUCCCCUAAAUGUCCAAGGGUGUGAGGCCUGCCAAGGAAAUGAAAGAACACAGAGCCCUCUGUCCGCAGAGCGUUCCUCUUGGCCAAGGCACAAAUGUGUGCUUUUAUUUCCUCCUGCUCAGAAGCCACAAAUAAUCAGGUGUUUGGCCAUGGGAACAUGGUAAGAUAAAUGUGCAAUCUGAUCCAAGAUUUGCGAUUUAAAGUUGAAGCGUUGGGAAAGAGAGGGGGAGAGAAAAUAGAGAAAUAGGUAUGGUCUAAUCUGGGAGAUGAGAGCCAAUUAGCACCACGGUUUUAAUGUUGUAUUCAGCCAUGGGAGCCUCAGAGGUUAUUAAUCUGCUGGAACUUUCUGACUUGAAUGAGGAGGGUUUUUCAGCCUUGUGAUGGUGGUGCGAGGGAGGGGUGUUUGGGGGGCUGGAGGGUGAUUAACCAGUGGAACAAGGAAUGUAUAAAGCAGAGAAGGCUGGAAAACAAAUCUGGGCCCCUCCUUACCUUCUUUCCUUCCAUGGCCUUACCGGGCUCAGCAGGAGUCUCAGCCACCCCGGUGGCUCUGAGUUUCGCCUUUCUCAGUAUUCCCAAAACAACUCUGGUCAGGGCAAAGGGAAGGCAUGGGCUGAGCAGUGUUGUGUUUCUCCAGCUCCUCAGCACUCUGGAAAGGAACACAAAAACACCAGGGAACGUGGAGGGAGUCUUUCUGCCACCAGUGGCCUUGUCAGUGCCAGACCCCGUAGUGCUGCGUUUCCAUGCUUUAUGAUAAAGCUGCGCAGCUUGCAGGGGUGACGGGCCAGGGGCCAUUCCUCAUGUGGCAGUUCAUAAUCCCAGCUUUGUUCCUGCUUCAGGAAUUGCUUCGGCCUCAAUAGGAGUGAAUCACUGUUUGGAGGCUCAGAAUUCUUUUCCACCAUCUGCAGUCAGGACUGAAUCACACGUGAGGACCGGGGGAAGGAGGUGACGGGGUCACCUGCCUGAACCAAAGCCCUGUGCAUGGAGUGCUUCCCAUUCCCUGUUCCAAUCGCUUUCCUACCAGUAACAGCACAAAACCCACUCCUCUGUGCAGCGUGCUCCAGCUAUGGGCCUGCUGUCUUCUCCCCAGCCUGGUCCCUGCCUCCAUCCCCAAGCAAAACCAUUUGGGGCAAUUGUGCCUGGAUGACGGACCUCUCCGGGGACUGCUUUUCCAGCACCUCCUUUCCCCUCCGUUCCCAUCUCCUGUGCCCUCUUCUUCCCUCCACGUCUCUCCCGGGCACCUGAGAAGAAGCUGUGGCUCUGGAGUGUGAAUGUAGCUGUUAUCAUCAUGCAGAGUCUGUGGCUGUAGAUCUUGACUUCCCUUCCUGGGUGGACCAACGAGCAGUGGCUGAAAACAGUCAUCUGGGCAGGAGGGUGUUGUUUGAAGGCAGCGGGGAGAAGAGGACAGAGGUAAGCAUCUGCUCUGCCCCAUCUGGGGGAGACCGACUGCACUGUGUCGCAGCCACGCUAUGCCGGGGGGUUAGCGGUGCAAGGAGGGCAGUGCCACGUGCUGGUGGCCGGGAAUCACUCCUCCCAUCGCGGCUGAGGGAUCACUCUGCCGCCAGGAGCUCCCUCAGCACCUGUUCUUAGACCCGUGUGGCUCUUAAGUGGAAGGCUGGAAAUUCAGUAUCCUCCACACCGGGCGAGCGGCUGCGCUUCCAUCACGUCAGCGCGCCUGUGAAGCCGACGCUCGUUUCUGUUACUUUAAUCUUUCCGCGGAGAAAAGGCCGUGCGGGACGAAGUUAAAGGCAGCGCCGUGGCGGGCGUUAGGGAUGCGCAAAGCCGCGAGGACCGAACUCCGCAACUCCCGCAGCGAAGUGCUGCUGCUGGGAGGGAAACCG
rnacentral:lncRNA from 1 species